rnacentral:rRNA from 1 species
CCUACGGGUGGCAGCAGUGAGGAAUAUUGGUCAAUGGACGAGAGUCUGAACCAGCCAAGUAGCGUGAAGGAUGACUGCCCUAUGGGUUGUAAACUUCUGUUAUAAAGGAAUAAAACGAGGAACGUGUGCCUUUUUGCAUGUACUUUAUUAAUAAGGAUCGGCUAACUCCGGGCCAGCAGCCGCGGUAAGACGGAGGAGCCAAGCGUUAUCCGGAAUUAUUGGGUUUAAGGGGUGCGUAGAUGGGUUGUUAAGUCAGUUGUGAAAGUUUGCGGCUCAACCGUAAAAUUGCAAUGGAUACUGGCAGUCUUGAGUACAGUUGAGGUAGGCGGAAUUCGCGGUGUAGCAGUGAAAUGCUUAGAUAUCACGAAGAACCCCGAUUGCGAAGGCAGCUUACUAAACUGUGACUGACAUUGAUGCUCGAAAGUGUGGGUAUCAAACAGGAUUAGAUACCCCAGUAGUC